CUAUGAAUUUUCUCUUAUCUAGGUCAUAUUAAGCCGUUUUCCUUUUGAGUUAUAUGAUCAAAAACAACUACGCAUGACAGAAGCAAGGACCACCUGGAUACUUCAUCCUCCAAUUAACAUCUGGAAAGUGGUCUGUGAACCCCAGCCACAUGCCCAGGUAACUAUGGACCUCCAAGUGCUGCAUGUGGAAUGUCCUUUCCCAAGCUCUCAACAAAGACAGUCCAGCCUGCUGAGAUCAUCUUACCUCUCAGCUUCCCUCUAGGGAUUGCUAUGUGGCUGCAAGUUAUGAUUUCUAAAGGGAAGAAUCAUGUUCCUUGUUUUUCCUGGAAAGAACAUCAUUUACAUAAGCCCCAAACGUUUAAAACAAAAGUCCUUAUUCGAAUCUUCUUAAGAAUUUUUAAAAUCAUAAUUUGGACACGACUUUUAUACUUGCAUACUUACAUUCUUUUUUUUUUUUUUUUAGACGAAGUCUCGCUCUUGUCCCCCAGGCUGGAGUCCAAUGGUGCGAUCUAGGCUCACUGCAACCUCCGCCUCCCGGGUUCAAGAGAUUUUCCUGCCUCAGCCUCCCAAGUAGCUGUGAUUACAGGCGCCUGCCACCACGCCCGGCUAAUUUUUGUAUUUUUAGUAGAGAUGGGGUUUCACCAUGUUGGCCAGGCUGGUCUCGAACUCCUGACCUCAGGUGAUCCACCCGCCUCAGCCUCCCAAAGUGCUGGGAUUACAAGCGUGAGCCACCGCGCCCGGCCUAUACUUGCAUUCUUAUUGCUAUCUCUCACCUACCACCCAGUGCCAUUUCAACAAAUUCCCCAUUGUACAUUUUUCACCCUAAUAAAACUUCUGAAGCCACUUUUACUUUAAGAAAUGCAAGCUCUAUCUUCUGGAAUUGUUGUGGGGUGGGGGUGUCAAAAUUUUAAAAGCCAAGAACGAAAUCCAGGCUGCACUCAAAAAAUCAAGAUAAUGAGAGGCAGAGAUGGGACUGAGACACCUGAUGCUGUCCAAGAUACACUUGAUUCUAAUGCUCCAUGAUCCAUG
rnacentral:lncRNA from 1 species